UACGGGAGGCAGCAGUGGGGAAUAUUGCACAAUGGGCGCAAGCCUGAUGCAGCCAUGCCGCGUGUAUGAAGAAGGCCUUCGGGUUGUAAAGUACUUUCAGCAGUGAGGAAGGUGGGUAUGUUAAUAGCAUACUCAUUUGACGUUAGCUGCAGAAGAAGCACCGGCUAACUCCGUGCCAGCAGCCGCGGUAAUACGGAGGGUGCGAGCGUUAAUCGGAAUUACUGGGCGUAAAGCGCAUGCAGGUGGUUGUUAAGUCAGAUGUGAAAGCCCGGGGCGUCAACCUCGGAAUUGCAUUUGAAACUGGCAAACUAGAGUACUGUAGAGGGGGUAGGAAUUUCAGGUGUAGCGGUGAAAUAGCGUAGAGAUCUGAAGGAAUACCGGUGGCGAAGGCGGCCCCCUGGACAGAUACUGACACUCAGAUGCGAAAGCGUGGGGAGCAAACAGGAUUAGAUACCCUGGUAG
rnacentral:rRNA from 1 species